rnacentral:rRNA from 1 species
GAUGAACGCUGGCGGCGUGCCUAAUACAUGCAAGUCGAGCGAACAGAUGAUGAGCUUGCUCCUCUGACGUUAGCGGCGGACGGGUGAGUAACACGUGGAUAACCUACCUAUAAGACUGGGAUAACUUCGGGAAACCGGAUCUAAUACCGGAUAAUAUAUUGAACCGCAUGGUUCAAUAGUGAAAGUCGGUUUUUCCGUCACUUAUAGAUGGAUCCGCGCCGCAUUAGCUAGUUGGUAAGGUAACGGCUUACCAAGGCAACGAUGCGUAGCCGACCUGAGAGGGUGAUAGGCCACACUGGAACUGAGACACGGUCCAGACUCCUACGGGAGGCAGCAGUAGGGAAUCUGCCGCAAUGGGCGAAAGCCUGACGGAGCAACGCCGCGUGAGUGAUGAAGGUCUUCGGAUCGUAAAACUCUGUUAUUAGGGAAGAACAAAUGUGUAAGUAACUAUGCACGUCUUGACGGUACCUAAUAAGAAAGCAACGGCUAACUACGUG